AGUCUUCAGGGUGAGAAACGGCUCAGGACUGUACUAUCCGCCCUUUCUUCUCUUCCACCAAAAAUACUUGCGUUGGCGCCCAGCUUCACUCUGUGUCUCCCUGGUUGCACAUAGCCACCUGACCAAGGCAGGAACUGCAACCACAACUCAGCAAAGAACUUUCUUGACAUUACCGUUACUAUCGCAUAGAAUGAGAAUGCUUUUGCCUCAAUUCUCCACUUUCGUUGCCUAGAUUUUGACAGCUGUGACCAGAAAGCCAACAUUAUACAGCUAACGUGAGCGUGUUAAGAAAAGUGAAGGCCAGCCCAGCAAAUCAACUUCUUGGAAGGCUAGUGUGGUGAAGUUUAUCAGUAUGAUGUCUGCGCACCUUGACAAGGUAGUCACCUGACCCCAAACCGCCCACGGGACAGCCCCCACCCCCUUCAUUUUUAGCCUUUCCUACAUCCCUACACCUGCACCCCUACAUCCCGCCCACCUGACCCAUAAAUUCAGUGCGUCUCAGAGUACAAGACCAACCUUUGGAACAGAAAGGUGUCAGGCAUCAUUCUUUCAUUCACUGAACAAGCAUUGAGCAUCUAUCAUGUGCACUUGGAAAACAGCAAUGAAUAGAACAGAGGAGGGGCUUACAUGGGGAUUAGGGGAGAGUCAGAAAAUAAUCACAAUAUGUACUAUUUAGGGUGAUGAUGAGCGUUAGAAAGAAAGAAGCGAUGUAACAGAGAUGAGAGAGAGGAGGCUAAUGCAAUUUGAAAUAAAGAGGUCAGAGAAGUCCUCACUGCCAUUUGUGAAAGACCUGAGGAAGUAGGGGGCAUGCCAUGUGGAACAUUCCAGGAAGAUGGAGUCUAGAUUGGGUUGGAAAAGUUUUCUGUAUUCUCUUGAUUAAAUUAGUUUAUUUAUUAUUAAAGUUAGUCCUCCUUGGUUAUAAGCUCAGUGUAAAUAUGUCAAAUUAAAUGAAUUACCUUUCAUAUUAUCUACAUGAUCUUCAAAUCAACUCAGAAUGAAAAUUAUAUUAGUUUAAUUUGCCCUUUAAGGAGGUGAUCUUCAGGAGUUCUCUGGUAGCCUAGAGCUGUGGCAUGGGUUCGAGUCCUGGUUCAGGGAAUUUCCUCAUGCCAUGGGCAUGGCCAAAAAAUAAAUAAAAAAGAGAGGUGAUCUUCAUAGAUAAUAUAUUCCUCUACCUAAAGCCUAAACCCAUUGCUUUUUUUUUCUUUUUAGGGCCACACCUGUGGCAUAUGGAAGUUCCCAGGCUAGGGGUUGAAUCAGAGCUGCAGCUGCUGGCCCAUGCCAUAGCCACAACAAUGCCAGAUCCAAGCUGCAUCUGUGACCUACACAGUAGUUUGUGGCAACGUAAUCCUUAACCCAUUGAGUGAGGCCAGGGAUCGAACCUGAACCCGCAACCUCAUGGGUACUAGUUGGAUUUUUACCCACUGAGCCACAAUGAGAACUCCUGAAACCCACUGCUUUUAAAUAAACUACACAAACAGACUCUACAUUUUGAAAUGUUCUGCUGGAAAAAGUGGACAAGGCAAGAGAACUAGAAAAGGCCAAGAGUUUGUAAUGGUUGAGCUAUGUGGGCUCUCCUCAGCUACCUCUGGGAGCCUCUGGAAAUGUUAUCUCUCCAUCCCAGGUGCUGUGCCCCUCCUGCUAAGUGGAGAUAACAGGAUUCUUCUGGCCCCUCCCAGAGAAAUGCUGAUGAUUAGUGACAAGGCAGAAAGGUGCAAAGCCCACAUAAUCAGCACUGAAACAGGUUAAAUUUGUAGCUGGCCAGAAAGAAAGAAGGGAACUAGCAAAACAUGCUUUAUUAAGUAUAUCAAUAUAAUAAAAUUAAAAAAUGAAUUAGCACCAUGCCAUACAUUUUCCUCACACCUGUAUUUUUAUUUUUACUGACUUUUUAAAAACUCAUUCAAAACUACACUCUUGAUGUACAUAUGAAGACUCAGGUUACAAAUGUAAACAGAACUUUAUGCUUUUUCCCCAAAGAGAGUUUCAUGACAUUUGUUAUUUCUAAUCUAAGACUUAUUUCUUACAAACAUCAUAUAUAACAGCUUUUCAAUGAGUACAUUUUAUGUUCUUUUGAAGUGGAAGCAGCUAUAAUGUGAUUUAUAGGAGCCCUUUUCAAAACCCUUUGGAGAUGCCUAGCCUGGAAACUUCCAUAUGUCACAUGUGUGUCCCUAAAAAGCAAAAAAAAAGAAAAAA
rnacentral:lncRNA from 1 species